AGAAAAACUUAAGGUAAAGUCAUACAUGCUGAAGUAGCCAUGCAGCUUCCACUGAGGGAGCCGUUACUAAUUAACUGAGAAGCAAAGACAGGAAGAGAUGGGAGGAAGGGGAGGAGCAGAGACUGCAAAAGCAAUGAACAUUGGAGAAUACUAGCCAUGGAAUGGAAUGCAGAGAAUGGGACAAAAGAACCAAUCCACAAACACUGUGAUUUGCUGCUCUUGUUGCAUAUAAGACCUUCUGAAGCCGCAGAUCAUGUUCAGCUUUGGUAGAACUCCACACAAUGAUAUCAUCCAUUGAGGUGUCAACUUCAUCAAUGUGCUCACAUAUUGUAUGUAUGGUUCUAUGGUACACUUUGGGUGCUGAAGCCACACCAAAUGGGAGCAGCAGAAAGGAAUACCUCCCAAAGGGACUGUCCUCUGUGACUUUUAACUGCCAAAAGCCAGAGGAGGCAUAAAGUUUGCUGAAAAAGCAAACAUUUGCAAAUUGUGCCAUGAUUUCCUCCCUAGUGGGAAGUUUGAAAUGCUCCUUCUUUAUAGCUUUGUUAAGGCUUCUGGGAUCAAAACAAACCUGUAACUUGCCAUUAGGUUUCUCUACAAUGACUAGAGAGCUCACUCAUUCUGUGGGUUCCUCAAUCUUCUCAAUGACCUGUAAAGGCUCCAUCCUCUCUGUCACAAAGUGCAAAAGGCACUUUUCUGCAUGGAUGGAUCACUGAUGGAAACUGAUUUAUGUAUUUGGAUUGUAUGUUCCCCUGGUAAACAGCCUAGUCCUUCAAAUAUAUUGUGAUAACUCAAA